rnacentral:rRNA from 1 species
AUGACGGACCAAGAAUACCUAUUUCUUUUAUUAGUAGGUAUAGAUAUAGAAAAAAGAAGUUUCAUAAGCCAGACGCCUCAAAAAAGGAAAAAGGAAAAAAAAGGGCUUAAACUUAUGAUUCAAAGCACAUGUCAUUAUACCUCAACCAUGAUAGAUUUUAUUCGUAUCAUAUUAAGCUGGUUCUGUGCCGUUUAUCCAUUCGUCGUUAUUACAAAGAAGCUUCGCGCCCAAAGAUCAAGUACAAUGUUAGCAAUCAAACUGGCGUUAAUCAUUCUUUGCUUUCAUGAACUUCUUGAUGAUGCCCAUCAUCUCACUUCCAGGGAACCGCCCAAGGCAGCCCCUUGCAGCAGCAAUCUCGGUGUAUUCACACACUUUAUCGCCGCUAAAAGCUUUACGCUCUUCAGGCUUGUGUUCCGCUGGUUCUGA